AUCACAACUCACCUCCCCCUGUCAUAUGGGAGAAUUUAUUUUGUGUUGUUAUUGCUGGAAUAAGCUGUGUAACACCAAUUAACAUCCGUGACUGGCAUUGACAGGCGGUGUUCUUAAGGCUGUCAAAGUAGAUAAAACUGGGUUUUAUAUGUUGUUAAGAAGGUCGACCAUCUUUCCUUAGACAAGAACAACAGCAAGAUGGGGGCUGUUCUUGGGCUCUGCUCCUUGGCUAGCUGGAUACCUUGCCUGUGUGGAAGUGCUCCCUGUCUGCUUUGUCGAUGCUGCCCCAGUGGAAAUAACUCAACUGUGACACGUCUGAUUUAUGCCACUUUCUUACUUAUGGGUGUUGGAGUUGCCUGUAUUAUGUUGAUACCAGGAAUGGAAGAACAGCUUAAAAAGAAUCCAGGAUUUUGUGUUUG